UAAUAAGUGUUUUAUGGCACUUUUUAAAUCCAUAUCCACCUUGUGUGCAAUGUCAGUCGAUCUUCUUCAUGGAGAUCGACCAAACAUCAACCUUUAUCUUUUAACUCUUUGUCUGAAAAUAUAUAUGAAUAAACAAUUCAAAAUA
rnacentral:misc_RNA from 1 species